rnacentral:rRNA from 1 species
UAGGGAAUCUACGGCAAUGGACGAAAGUCUGGCCGAGCAACGCCGCGUGAGUGAAGAAGGUUUUCGAAUCGUAAAACUCUGUUGGUAGAGAAGAACGUUGGUGAGAGUGGAAAGCUCAUCAAGUGACGGUAACUACCCAGAAAGGGACGGCUAACUACGUGCCAG